rnacentral:rRNA from 1 species
AUUGAACGCUGGCGGCAGGCCUAACACCUGCAAGUCGAGCGGAGCGGCGGACGGGUGAGUAAUGCCUAGGAAUCUGCCUGGUAGUGAGGUAUAAUGUCCGGAAACGGGCGCUAAUACCGCAUACUAUCAGAUGAGCCUAGGUCGGAUUAGCUAGUUGGUGGGGUAAAGGCCUACCAAGGCGACGAUCCGUAACUGGUCUGAGAGGAUGAUCAGGCAUCCUGGAACUGAGACACGGGCCAGACUCCUACGGGAGUCAGCAGUGGGGAAUAUUGGACAAUGGGCGAAAGCCUGAUCCAGCCCUGCCGCGUGUGUGAAGAAGGUCUUCGGAGUUUAAAGCACUUUAAGUUGGGAGGCGUUACCAUCAGAAUAAGCACCGGCUAACUUCGUGCCAGCAGCCGCGGUAAUAC